AACUCACUUGUGUUCUGUAUAUAUUUUACACAAAUAACCUGGAAUGUCUACCAUAUUUUAGAGUGUCUGCUUUCUGAGUGACUGAAACCCACACCAGGAAGAUAGGUGUGGAAUUUGCCACUUGGGAUAUUUUUUUAAAUCAUAUUUUGGUACAUUUUGAAUGUCAGAUAUUUGGAUUAGGGACAUUCAACCUGUUCACAAAUGUGAUGCAGAGUUAUGACCCUAUUUACCAAGUGAAAAAAACCCACCAUACUCACUGGAGUGGAAGUUCAUACAGCGACAGGAGAAUGAUUCCCAAGGCUCACUCGAGGGAGGAGGUCUGGGGGCGAGUCCCCGCCAAGGGACCCGAGAGAGUUCUCCGAAGCAGCACUGUCCUACUUCGUGGCUUUUGUGGGCGUUCUCAUUCUGAUCAUCUUCAGGCUGUAAACAGACAUUCACACAUUCUUCUGAAUGUAGGACAUAGUUCACAAUAUAAAAACAGGAGAAGGGGGAUUGCAGGGGAGGUGGCUGAGGGGUGCUGGUGAAUUUCCAGUGGGUUUAGUGUGACCACAGAACCAUGUGAUCUCAACAACCCUCAGACAGAUGAGAGACCAUGUGGAGAAGGUGGGGCAGGGUUCAUCUGUCACUGGAGAGGGAGGAAUGAGAUGUAGGGUAGAGGUAUGGGUAAAACUGUAACACGUAGCUGGGCAGGAGGCUGGAGAAGUCAGAAGAGAGAGGUUAAGUGGAAAUAGGAGAUCAACUGGCCAUGGGACCAGAGACCCUGAGAACCAUAGAUGCUUAUGGAACCACAGUUUAUGGGCAGCUGGUCAGAAUGACAGUCAUGGUGGCAGGUCUACAUUAGAGAUCUUCAGAGGAACACAAAUUCUCAGGGGACAUCAUCUGCAUGUGGCUGUAACGCUGAGCAGAGGAAGGAAGAGGUAAGUGGACCCAGGAGUCUACAGGGCAGCUUAGUGGGGACUUGCACACAGUGGCAGAGGAGGGAAACCCUACAUCACACAAAGGGAGACAGGAAGCCUGCAAGUUGGGAGCACGUGGGAAGAGGGUAAAGGUGGGCCAUGUCUGGGUCCGCACAAAGCUACCUGCCGUUGUCAGCUAAACAACGAGUAGCAGGCUGUGCUUGGCCACUGUUUUAGAGAGUUUGUCUUAUAGUGUUUGUGAUAUAUGCUGUGUCACCUGGCACAAUGACAGCUAUGACCAAGAUGGCUGUAGUUAUGCUAAGGAGGCUUCUUGGCGACUAUUUCUCAUCUCCACAGCCUACACUGCCCAUUGACUCAAAACUACCCCAUUUGAACUCAUGUGGGGGAGAUCAGAACUACUUCCCAGUCCCUUGACCUAGAUCUCAGCCAUGGACAAGACACACACCUUCGGGAAAGUCUCACCAGGCAGCUCCACUAGGGGAGGACACUGGGGAAAGUGUCUGGCCAGUUUAAGCCCCGGCAUAGGGUCUUCGGUUUCAGAAUUUUACCAUUGACCUGGGCUUGUAUGCUCUGCUUGAGCAAAAAGAUUAAUAUGCAAUUUAAAUUUGAUAUGAAAUGAAAUCGCAUAGAUACUCUGCCUAUCUAUCCUUGGGUCCUUCUUUUCUGUGACCCAAAUACUUGAGACUAUGUUUGCAGCACAAGCCCAGUUGUAAACAUUUUCUGUUUCUUCAGUCCUAACUAUCCUAGCCUGAGCUGCCUUCAUCCCUAAUCUGUUUAUUAGGACAGGUUUUGUUUUCUUGUUGUUUGUUUUUUAGCAUUCUAUAACAAAAUACCUGAAGCUGGGCAGUGCAUACAGAACAGAGGGUUAUUUAACUCUUUAGAGACCGGACUGAUUGAUCUGACCUAUAGUAAGCUACUCUUCGGUCACGCAAACUAUUCAUCAUGGAGAAAGCAUCAGUGAGCAAGAGAAAUCAUAUAGCAAGACAUGACGUCAGAGUCUGGGAAAGGUUCAGUAAUUUAUCAACAACCCUUUCCCGAGAAUGAACCAGAGUCCCAUGAGAAUACAUCAGUAUUUGAGAGAAACACCCCAAAUGGCCUAAUCACUUCCACUAGGUUCUGUAACUGCAGUUCCGGAGAAUCUGAUGCCCUCUUCUGGCCUUGCUGGGCGUUGCAUGCACAUGGUUCACAGACAUACUUUCAGAGAAACACUCAUCAUACACAU
rnacentral:lncRNA from 1 species